ACCGGCUAACCAGGCUGAGACUGGAACAGGGCCCUUGACGCAGCAUGAGGCCAGCUCUCAAUCGAUGGCGAUGGAGAUGGAGUUGGGGGAUGAAGCCAGGUAAAUAAGUUUUCGAGUCCGAGCCUGUGUGCCAUCGUAAACUCCUGAUGAACCUCAUAAAUAAUAUGUAUUCCGAUUUUUA